CCUGGUGGCUCAGUUGGUAAAGUAUCUGCCUGCAAUGCAGGAGACCCAGAUUCUAUCCCUGGGUCAGGA
rnacentral:tRNA from 1 species